ACAUCCAGAGAACUUAGCAGAGAUGCUUUGGUGCCUUCGGGAACUCUGAGACAGGUGCUGCAUGGCUGUCGUCAGCUCGUGUUGUGAAAUGUUGGGUUAAGUCCCGNAACGAGCGCAACCCUUAUCCUUUGUUGCCAGCGGUUCGGCCGGGAACUCAAAGGAGACUGCCGGUGAUAAACCGGAGGAAGGUGGGGAUGACGUCAAGUCAUCAUGGCCCUUACGGCCAGGGCUACACACGUGCUACAAUGGCGCAUACAAAGAGAAGCGACCUCGCGAGAGCAAGCGGACCUCAUAAAGUGCGUCGUAGUCCGGAUUGGAGUCUGCAACUCGACUCCAUGAAGUCGGAAUCGCUAGUAAUCGUAGAUCAGAAUGCUACGGUGAAUACGUUCCCGGGCUUGUACACACCGCCCGUCACACCAUGGGAGUGGGUUGCAAAAGAAGUAGGUAGCUUAACCUUCGGGAGGGCGCUUACCACUUUGUGAUUCAUGACUGGGGUGAAGUCGUAACAAGGUAAGCGUAGCGAG
rnacentral:rRNA from 1 species